GGGGAUGUACUGGUUUCGACGGGGAGACUGAAGUUUAAGAUGCAUGUCGUGCCUGAAUGAUGCACGUAAAUCUUAGUUCAUUUAGUUAUAGUUGCAAACGACGAUAACUACGCUCUAGCGGCUUAAUCCCGCUGGUGCAGCACGGGACCGUUGCCUAUGGCCCCUGUUGCUGUAUCGACUUACAUAGGAUCGUAUCAAGUACGUGUUUGGGUGCUUGGUAUUAAACUUUACAAGCUCGCUUAUCGUGAUCCCUGCUGGUCGGGCAGCGGUAGGUUAAAUUCAAAGACCAAAUAAACAUGUAGAGUUUUAAGUGGAUGCUUUCCGGACGGCGGUUCGAUUCCGCCCAUCUCCACCA
rnacentral:tmRNA from 1 species